rnacentral:lncRNA from 1 species
UGCUGUCAUUUUUAUUUCCUCUUAUCUCGUUUGUCUAUUUUUUUUAUUUCACUUCAUUUGGUUUCGAUCUACAAUACAAUCGAGUACUAUUUCAAAACUAACAAAUCUACACUUACCGAAAUCAAAUUCUGCUUUAGUUCCUUUAUUGGUCAGUUUGAAGAUCGAUUUGAAUCUAGAUUCUUGAAGUUUUAUCUACCGUUUGAAGCAGCUGAUUGGGUAUAAUUUCUCGUACGACGAUUCCGAUCCACACAAUCAAGCAAAUAUAUUGAGGUAAAACAUUUUCCAACUACUCUUAAAUUUGGAUAUGUAAUCUUUGAGAUCAGAUUUGAAAUAUAAUAUUUGGAGCAAUUGUAUGUGUCUGCGGGCUUAUUUUUUCUAGUCCUCGUUUUUCCUGAACCGAGAUGGUUUUAUUUUCUUGACGACAACAUACGUAAUUGGUUACUUCAUCCAAAUUAGUGUGUCAGGUUUACGGAAUGAGUCAAGUGUUUGUCAACAAAUUGAUUAUAUAGAUCUUGAAAAUUACCAUAUCUAGAUAUUGUGACUUUUUGUUGCUCCAAGUUUUAUAAGAUUUGUUCACCGUUGCAUCUGCUUUAAAUGGAUUAUUGAAUGUUUUAUUUCUUAUGCGUUCAUAUUACAAUAGAGUAAGCUUUAGUAUCUGAUGGAUUUUAAUUUUACUUAUGUAUCUCGAUUACAUAAAUACAGUACUGGGGAUAGUUUCUAUCGCUAUGAUUAUGAGGUUGUUGAUUCUAUGAAAGUAGCUUAAGAGCUAUUUGAAUCAUUGUUUAACUGGUUUGGUUCUAUGUUGUAUUGCAGUUGCUGCAAAACAAAAUGCUCAGUUCAAUGGAUGAUGGUGNN